AUAAAACAUACACAUAUGAACGAGAAAAUAAAGAAAGACUAUUAUAGACGUGUUAGAUCAAUACUAAGAGCAGAGCUCAAUGCUAAAAACAAGAUGAUAGGUAUUAAAACUUUAUCUGUCCCAGUGAUAAGUUACAGGUACAAUAUCUUUAACUGGACACUAAAUUAACUAACCAAAAUAGACAGGAAAACAAGAAACAUAAUGACAGGAUCUAUGAUGCACCACACAAAAUCUGACAUAGAAAGGCUAUAUAUAUAUACAACGAAUAAAAGG